AUCCACAGCCAUAUCACCCUGUUACCAAAGACUGGUUGCCCUCUGAAGCUAAUCAGGGUUGAACCUGGUCAGUACCUGGGUGGGAGACCUCCUGGGAAAACUAGGUUGCUGCUGGAUA
ensembl:rRNA 5S_rRNA 5S ribosomal RNA